UGGCUGGCCAAAACAACCUAAUCCUAACUCAUCCAUUCCAUGAUUCAACAUAAAGUAACUCCAUCAUUCAUCAGUAUCACUUGCAUCUUUUCCCUCUACCUGAUCUCUCCCUCCUUAAACUCAGUGUAACUAAUCCAUGAGCAAAUAUCAGGUGUUCUUCGUCUCCACUCCUGGAAUUGGAAACCUAGUUCCCACUGUUGAAUUCGCCCAGCGUCUGAUUCAUCAUGACCCUAGAAUCUCCUCCACCAUAUUCAUCAUUUCUUUAUCCCAAAGACCCAUCGUCAACUCCUACAUCCAAUCACGUGCCUCUACA
rnacentral:misc_RNA from 1 species